GACAGAGGUGCCGAGCGUUAGGCGGAAUCACUGGGCUUAAAGCGCGUGUAGGCGGUUGUCCAAGUUGGAUGUGAAAGCCUUGAGCUUAACUCAAGAAAUGCAUUCAGGACUGGAUGACUAGAGGACCGGAGAGGAUAGUGGAAUUCCCAGUGUAGUGGUGAAAUACGUAGAGAUUGGGAAGAACACCAGUGGCGAAGGCGGCUAUCUGGACGGUUUCUGACGCUAAGACGCGAAAGCGUGGGGAGCAAACAGG
rnacentral:rRNA from 1 species